rnacentral:rRNA from 1 species
GAUGAACGCUAGCGGCAGGCCUAAUACAUGCAAGUCGAACCGUGUCUUCGGACAUAGUGGCGCACGGGUGCGUAACACGUAUGCAACCUACCUUACAUUGGGGGAUAGCCUUUCGAAAGGGAGAUUAAUACCGCAUAAGACAGUAGCUGGGCAUCCAGCAGCUGUUAAAGAUUUAUCGAUGUAAGCUGGGCAUGCGUCCAAUUAGCUAGUUGGUGAGGUAACGGCUCACCAAGGCAAUGAUUGGUAGGGGAACUGAGAGGUCAAUCCCCCACCCUGGCACUGGGAUACGGGCCAGACUCCUACGGGGGGCAGCAGUAGGGAAUAUUGGGCAAUGGACGCAAGUCUGACCCAGCCAUGCCGCGUGCAGGAUGAAGGCGUUAUGCGUUGUAAACUGCUUUUAUACAGGAAGAAACGACUCUUGCGAGAGGCAUUGACGGUACUGUAUGAAUAAGCACCGGCUAACUCCGUACCAGCAGCCGCCGUAAGAC